UUCCAGCCAUAUAGCUUGAGUGAGUGAGUGAAGAUUUUAAGUCACAUCGGCAAUAUUUCAGCCAUAUCGUGGCUAUAAACAAGUUGCGAAUUCACCAUUAAUACAUGUAAAUUAUAAAAACGAAAGACAGUAAAAUCAGCUAGAAUAUCACAGUAUCAAGGAAUAAAACUAGCAACUCUCUCUAAAAUUGAAUUUCAAAUUAAGACAACACAGUAUAAAAAUGGGCUAUAGAUCGCCAACAACUGAAGGUAGAUCACCAUACCAGGGACCAUGGGGACUUACAUUACUUUUGCUACCUGCUUGGACCC